AUCGAUUGAUCUCCACCUUGAUUGAACCUAUCUUCUCCAUCUUCAAUCUUGAUCACCACUACCAUAAUCUAUGUCCUGAUAUCGCUUCACUCUGAUACCACUUGUUGGAGAUGUCUGGUCAGGAUACCACCUCCACAAGAUCUUUUGGAUACCAUGCAUUAUAGCAGGAAGAAAAAAGAUAAAAUAAAAAUACAAUCAAAUACAUAGAUCAGCC
rnacentral:lncRNA from 1 species